rnacentral:rRNA from 1 species
GACGAACCGUGCGACCGUUGUUCGGAAUCACUGGGCUUAAAGGGCGCGUAGGCGGACUGCCAAGUCCGGGGUGAAAUCUUUCGGCUCAACCGGAAAAUAGCCUCGGAGACUGGCGGUCUGGAGGGAGGUAGGGGCAGCUGGAACUUCCGGUGGAGCGGUGAAAUGCGUUGAUAUCGGAAGGAACGCCGGUGGCGAAAGCGAGCUGCUGGACCUUUUCUGACGCUGAGGCGCGAAAGCCAGGGGAGCAAACGGG